rnacentral:rRNA from 1 species
UACGAAGGGAGCUAGCGUUGUUCGGAAUCACUGGGCGUAAAGCGUGCGCAGGCGGCUUUGCAAGUCAGGGGUGAAAUGCCAAGGCUUAACCUUGGAACUGCAUUUGUGACUGCAUGGCUAGAGUGCGGCAGAGGGGGAUGGAAUUCCGCGUGUAGCAGUGAAAUGCGUAGAUAUGCGGAGGAACACCGGUGGCGAAGGCGGGUCUCUGGGCCGAAACUGACGCUGAGGAGCGAAAGCGUGGGGAGCAAACAGG